UACGGGGGGGGCAAGCGUUGUUCGGAAUCACUGGGCGUAAAGGGUGCGUAGGCGGGUCUUUAAGUCAGGGGUGAAAUCCUGGAGCUCAACUCCAGAACUGCCUUUGAUACUGAAGAUCUUGAGUUCGGGAGAGGUGAGUGGAACUGCGAGUGUAGAGGUGAAAUUCGUAGAUAUUCGCAAGAACACCAGUGGCGAAGGCGGCUCACUGGAUCGGUACUGACGCUGAGGUGCGAAAGCGUGGGGAGCAAACAGG
rnacentral:rRNA from 1 species